AGUGUCAUGGUCUUGCCUCCAGAAUUGAAGAAAUCAUUUAGUACAAAUACCUCGUUUGAGAGAUGAGGAACCUAAGGUCCUUAGAGAGCAUGUAACUGGCCCAGAAUAAUACAGCUGGCUCAUGGCAGACCUGGUGCCCAAGCCAAUGCUUUGUCUUACAACCGAACACCCCGGUGUUUCUCAAAUGUGCUGCUUUAAUGAUUUUUUACUAAAUGUGUUCCCUUUCUUUUGAUAAAACUUCAUUGUUUUAUGUUUAUGUCUACAUUACCAUAUAGUUUUUCCCAGAAAAAGGCUUUGUUUAUGAAUAUGUGCAGCAUCGAUUUAUUCAACUUACGGUUUUUAACUGAUGAGAUCACUAAUAUGGUUCAACUGGUAAAACAUAUCGGCAGCCUGCCUGGUAUCAUGGGUUUGUAAUAAAGGGAAGAAGUCCUUACUCAUAAGCCAUUAAGAAGAGUUCUCCUGGAAAUCACGCGCCUGUGUCCCAGUUGCAAGAGGCCAGUAAAGUGAAUGGCUAGCAUUCUGAGUGUCUGCAGUGGGAAGAGUUCUUUCAGCAAAGCAGAAAGGGGAAAAGCAAGUGGUGGUGAUCAGCAGUGUCUACUUCAACUUUGAAGCCUAAAACAAUGUGAAGUAUUUCUAGUUAGAAUCACAACAUACCACAUUUCUCUCUACUGAACACCAUUUUACUAGUUGGAAUUUUUAUCUUGAUUGUGAAUUCCUUGACACAACCUGCAUGAGCAUGAGCGUGUCCUUAAUUCAUUUAAGCUACUUGAGGUAAUUCUCAACAUAGAUAUGCUUGUAAUUGCUAUUCGGUUUUAGUUUGUUUCAGCGAUUUUGAGUAAAAAGAGAAAGCAGAAUAUAUGAUAAUAAAUUGGAAUUUAUUAUUAAGA